AAAUUGAAGAGUUUGAUCAUGGCUCAGAUUGAACGCUGGCGGCAGGCCUAACACAUGCAAGUCGAACGGUAGCACAGAGAGCUUGCUCUCGGGUGACGAGUGGCGGACGGGUGAGUAAUGUCUGGGAAACUGCCUGAUGGAGGGGGAUAACUACUGGAAACGGUGGCUAAUACCGCAUAACGUCGCAAGACCAAAGAGGGGGACCUUCGGGCCUCUUGCCAUCAGAUGUGCCCAGAUGGGAUUAGCUGGUUGGUGAGGUAACGGCUCACCAAGGCGACGAUCCCUAGCUGGUCUGAGAGGAUGACCAGCCACACUGGAACUGAGACACGGUCCAGACUCCUACGGGAGGCAGCAGUGGGGAAUAUUGCACAAUGGGCG
rnacentral:rRNA from 1 species